rnacentral:rRNA from 1 species
UAGGGAAUCUUCGGCAAUGGACGGAAGUCUGACCGAGCAACGCCGCGUGAGUGAAGAAGGUUUUCGGAUCGUAAAGCUCUGUUGUAAGAGAAGAACGAGUGUGAGAGUGGAAAGUUCACACUGUGACGGUAUCUUACCAGAAAGGGACGGCUAACUACGUGCCAGCAGCCGCGGUAAUACGUAGGUCCCGAGCGUUGUCCGGAUUUAUUGGGCGUAAAGCGAGCGCAGGCGGUUAGAUAAGUCUGAAGUUAAAGGCUGUGGCUUAACCAUAGUACGCCUUGGAAACUGUUUAACUUGAGUGCAAGAGGGGAGAGUGGAAUUCCAUGUGUAGCGGUGAAAUGCGUAGAUAUAUGGAGGAACACCGGUGGCGAAAGCGGCUCUCUGGCUUGUAACUGACGCUGAGGCUCGAAAGCGUGGGGAGCAAACAGGAUUAGAUACCCUGGUAGUCCACGCUGUAAACGAUGAGUGCUAGGUGUUAGACCCUUUCCGGGGUUUAGUGCCGUAGCUAACGCAUUAAGCACUCCGCCUGGGGAGUACGACCGCAAGGUUG